AUUGUAGUCUGCAACUCGACUACAUGAAGCUGAAUCGCUAGUAAUCGCAGAUCAGAAUGCUGCGGUGAAUACGUUCCCGGGUCUUGUACACACCGCCCGUCACACCAUGGGAGUCGGAAAUGCCCGAAGCCGGUGACCCAACCAAAAGGAGGGAGCCGUCGAAGGCAGGUCUGAUAACUGGGGUGAAGUCGUAACAAGGUAUC
rnacentral:rRNA from 1 species